rnacentral:rRNA from 1 species
UGGGGAAUAUUGGACAAUGGGCGCAAGCCUGAUCCAGCCAUGCCGCGUGCAGGAUGAAGGCCUUCGGGUUGUAAACUGCUUUUGUACGGAACGAAAAGACUCUUUCUAAUAACUGGGGUCCAUGUCGGUACCGUAAGAAUAAGCACCGGCUAACUACGUGCCAGCAGCCGCGGUAAUACGUAGGGUGCGAGCGUUAAUCGGAAUUACUGGGCGUAAAGCGUGCGCAGGCGGUUAUAUAAGACAGAUGUGAAAUCCCCGGGCUCAACCUGGGAACUGCAUUUGAGACUGUAUAGCUAGAGUACGGCAGAGGGGGAUGGAAUUCCGCGUGUAGCGGUGAAAUGCGUAGAUAUGCGGAGGAACACCGAUGGCGAAGGCGAUCCCCUGGGCCUGUACUGACGCUCAUGCACGAAAGCGUGGGGAGCAAACA